rfam:Camelus ferus unplaced genomic scaffold scaffold1567, whole genome shotgun sequence.
GAAGUUAUAGCUCAGUAGUAGAGUGCAUGCCUAGCAUGCACGAGGUUCUGGGUUCAAUCCCCAGUACCUCCA